rnacentral:rRNA from 1 species
AUACAGGGGGUGCGAGCGUUAAUCGGAAUUACUGGGCGUAAAGAGUACGUAGGCGGUUGCUUAAGUCAGAUGUGAAAGCCCCGGGCUCAACCUGGGAACUGCAUUUGAAACUGAGUGACUAGAGUUUAAGAGAGGGGAGUAGAAUUCCGGGUGUAGCGGUGAAAUGCGUAGAGAUCCGGAGGAAUACCAGUGGCGAAGGCGGCUCCCUGGCUUAAAACUGACGCUGAGGUACGAAAGCGUGGGUAGCAAACAGGAUUAGAAACCCGGGUAGUCC